GCAAAGUAAUGGGGUCUUUGACAUUUCAGAUCACUCCAUUUCCGCCCUGGCACGCUCGGAAUCCCACGGACCUCUCGCGUGGAUUUCGUCUGGGGAGAAGCAGCGACGUGGUUUUGUUUGUUUUUGUUGUUUGUUUGCAGCCUCUGGGAUGACGGACCCUUGUCUGUCCUGCUCCAGUCAGAUGGGGCCCUUGACGACACCCGCAGGGUCUCCUCGUCAGCCCCGGGCCGCUGCUCUUGCUCCUCCUCCACGCCCACGCGGGGCACCGACCGACCGCGCCACCCCCGCCGGAGGAGCCACCGGGCUCCGGAGCUGCGCUUCCUGUUUCUCUUCUCUGCUCCUUGCUGUCGUUUGUCCCUUUGUGUCGACCUUGACCCCGGCACAAUUUCCACUCUCAGUAAAACAGGUCUCCUACGUAGUGUGUAUGUUUAAAACAACAGAGCUAUCACUUCUUCAUUUGGAAAAAAGAUUUAAUCUUUUUAUCACACAUCCUCUCAGAUGUCACAGAUCUCCCCGAGGGCGUCGGCAGCGGAGGUGCCAUCACCAGCUCUCGGCACGUCUGACCCGCCGGCCGGAAGCGCUGCCGAAGCCCCCCUCGCACUGGAGCAGAAGCUGCCUGUUCCUGCGGCACCUCUGGGCAAGCGCUGGAAACAUCCAGGUCGUUCUCUGACUUGUACUAGGAAAUGCCCCUCGCCUGUGAGAACUGACUCGAGGACUACGGCUCACUGCUCUCCCACCCAAACAAGAGCAGGCAGAGAGCAAGCGAAGGUGAGAGAGUCGGAGGCGGCGGCCUCGCACGGCCCUCGCCCUCCUCGGGAAGCAGCCACUCGCCUCCCAGAGCGAUCCGGGCUCGGAGCUGAGCAGCCCUGCAGGCAGAAAGAGGGCGCUGGCCUUCUUGUGAAUUUUUAAAUGUCAUCAUCAUAACGUUAUUUAUUUAAAUGUAGUUAUUUUGGUAUUUAAUUUUUUUUAAAGAGAGGGGAAAAAACCCUGUAUUUUCCUGGUGGAAUGAAACGGCUCAGAAUGGUAUAUUUAGGCAAUUUUAAAACAUUUAUUAUUUACCUAAAGACCAAAUAUGAUAAAUCUGUUCUCAGUAUUGUGUGUCAAUCCACGGUAUGGAGCUGUCACAAUGUUAUUGCAGACGAUGCGUAUUAAAAAUUAUGAAAUGACUGCACACUAGCUGGAUUUAUAACUCAGCCAUCUCAGAAAUAAAACAAAACCAUCAUGUCAACUCCAGACCACGUGUGUGACAGUGGCAAAGCCUCGCUUGCAGACUGCAGCACGGACGGGUCCGAGUGCCUCAGGCAGCAGCCUGCCUCCCAGGCACUUUCCAGAGACCUUGGAAUGUACGUUUGUGUUUCUCUUUUGACUCAGAAGGUUUGCAGUCGGCAAAAUCAUUCAGAUCACGCUGUGUCCGCGUGUGAGGUUGGGUGGCUUCACUGAUGGCCGCUGGAGCCCCUGACCGUGAGUUCUGGGGAGGGAGGUGGACGGGGCCCCCCGCGGGCAGAUGGCCUGGCCCGUGCUCCUAGGAGACACGUCCCACCACCGUCGCCUGCAGGCGCCGCCUGUCGGUGGGUGAUGCCGAGCCCGUGUGUAGAUUGUGUGGGUCUGGGGGCUCCCUGGUGGGCUCGUGGGUCGGGAGAGCGCCCGUCCUCAGAGCCCAAGAAGAGGAGGACAGGCUGCGUUGUCAGGCGCUAACGCGCGCCCUUGUCACAGCCCGGAAGUCCCAGGAGCCCUGUGGCCCCCGAGCCCUGGGAGAAACAGCUGGUUCCCGUGGCCCUGGGGGAAGCCUGGUGCUGCAGAGGUCACGUCGCACUGGACCCUGCCCAGCCGCGCACGGCUGUUCCUAAGCGCCUCACUGCAGGCAGUGUCUGCUCUGACCUUUGCCAAACGUCUGCGCUCCCUCAGGGACAAGAAACUUCAUUUCAGCAGCUUCGCCCUGAACCCGACAAGACGCAAAAGGGGGACUCACGCGGGAGGCGAGUGACGCGGCUCCUCCCGGGUUCGUGCGCGGACUGAGCUUCCUCUCGAGUCGGGGGGUCUCCACUCGGACAGUUGAGCUCUCCGGACACGUCACCCCUCGCACCGUCCCCUCCCAGGACGACAGAGUAGGCCAGAGUCACGGUCAGAGGGUGGGGCCGUGUCAGGACUUGGGAUUUCUGUGCUUUGUGACACAAGGAGACAAGUGACAAUCUUCGGGUCCUAACCUCCACUAUUCUAUAAGGUAUAGUGGUGAUCUGUGUGCAAAGAUUUGAAAUUUUAAACGUACCAAGUUCCUGAAACUCAAUAAAAUAUUUUUAUUAAUUUUAA
ensembl:lncRNA